GACGAACGCUGGCGGCGUGCCUAAUACAUGCAAGUAGAACGCUGAAGGAGGAGCUUGCUUCUCUGGAUGAGUUGCGAAAGGGUGAGUAACGCGUAGGUAACCUGCCUGGUAGCGGGGGAUAACUAUUGGAAACGAUAGCUAAUACCGCAUAAGAGUAGAUGUUGCAUGACAUUUGCUUAAAAGGUGCAAUUGCAUCACUACCAGAUGGACCUGCGUUGUAUUAGCUAGUUGGUGAGGUAACGGCUCACCAAGGCAACGAUACAUAGCCGACCUGAGAGGGUGAUCGGCCACACUGGGACUGAGACACGGCCCAGACUCCUACGGGAGGCAGCAGUAGGGAAUCUUCGGCAAUGGACGGAAGUCUGACCGAGCAACGCCGCGUGAGUGAAGAAGGUUUUCGGAUCGUAAAGCUCUGUUGUAAGAGAAGAACGAGUGUGAGAGUGGAAAGUUCACACUGUGACGGUAUCUUACCAGAAAGGGACGGCUAACUACGUG
rnacentral:rRNA from 1 species